AUUGAACGCUGGCGGCAGGCUUAACACAUGCAAGUCGAACGAAGUCUUCGGACUUAGUGGCGGACGGGUGAGUAACACGUGGGAACGUGCCUUUAGGUUCGGAAUAACUCAGGGAAACUUGUGCUAAUACCGAAUGUGCCCUUCGGGGGAAAGAUUUAUCGCCUUUAGAGCGGCCCGCGUCUGAUUAGCUAGUUGGUGAGGUAAAGGCUCACCAAGGCGACGAUCAGUAGCUGGUCUGAGAGGAUGAUCAGCCACAUUGGGACUGAGACACGGCCCAAACUCCUACGGGAGGCAGCAGUGGUGAAUCUUGCGCAAUGGGCGAAAGCCUGACGCAGCCAUGCCGCGUGAAUGAUGAAGGUCUUAGGAUUGUAAAAUUCUUUCACCGGGGACGAUAAUGACGGUACCCGGAGAAGAAGCCCCGGCUAACUUCGUGCCAGCCGCCGCCGUAA
rnacentral:rRNA from 1 species